GGGUUCAGUCGAAGCUACAGUUGCUGGCCUACGCCACACCACAGCAAAUGCCAGAUCCAAGCCACAUCUGUGACCUACACCACAGCUCAUGGCAACGCCAGAUCCUUAGCCUACUGAGUGAGGCCAGGGUUUGAACCCGCAACCUCACGGUUCCUAGUCAGAUUCGUUUCUGCUGCGCCACAACGGGAACUCCUUCUCUGCUUUUCUUAAGCAGAUCCACUUGGUACUAGCAUCUCCAGUAUAUACUAUGUUCCACCCCAUCUCAAGAUCAGUACAUAUUGGACUUUCAAGUGAUCAGAAUUUACACGAAGUAACACUUGAGUGAUUUGAAAAAACAAAGACAUUUUGUUUGUAUCACAUAGCAAGUUAUAAGACUAUCUCUACCUUUAUGGGUGUUUGGAGGGAUUAAAUAAAAUAUAAAAUGUGAUGUCUCUAGCUUAGUGCCUGAUGCAUAGUAUGUGAUCAAUAAAAUCAGUUCUUAACUCUUCUCUACUUCCAACUCUCAAUUAUUGCCAUUUAUGAUUUUAUCUUUUUUAUGUUUUAAGAACAAUCAUGGAAAAAUACCUAAUUCCCAAUUGGAGAACACUCCCAAAUAAUUAGUCCUAUUCCUCCUGGUGUUCCUUGCCCUUUCAAUGCAGUUAAUAAGGACUAGACUUAUCAGAUAAAUGGGUUCUAUUGACUGAUAUAGGUUGCCUUGGGAGCCAAAUAUCCAUCCAUAUGCUGAUGGAUCCAAGUAUGGUAAAAAAACAAUCUGAAAGGCUCUUUUAGUAUAUUUUCAUUUGCAUCUCACUCUCAUUAUCAGUCAGAUCCUACUCAGUAGCUGAAAGAUUGAAAAGCUUAAACUUAAUGUUCUAGCUUAAAUUCAAUGUUCCAAGAGCCUUCCCAACCUGACAGCAGUAAAAUAUUUAAGUCUAUUAGUCUUAUGGUUCCAGGAAUUUCCCAGAGAUGCUUUUGUCAGAUGCUUUCCAGCAUGAACAUGUUAAAAUGCAUUUAUAUUAUCUGUCUAUGAAGACCUUGAAGUGGAAACAGAUUGUUAGAGGGAUUUUAGCCCCAGGGUCAGAUCCUUCUAUGUCCUCAUCACCCAGACUCUUAGCUUACGACAUUUGAAGCAUUUACUUGCCAACAGAGAUGAAAGGUUAACUAUUGAUUCAAGAUAUUGACAGUACUUGAUGGGACUUGGUACUUGUAACCCAGACAUUGGAAUGGAUUUUUAAAUUAACCUCACUACUCAAUCUGAAGAGCCCCUGGAUCUGGGAAGACACUCCAUUGACAGAUGCUGAGAUAAUAUUUAAAAGCAGCUUCUACCUAUUAGGGUUUUAAUCUGGAAUUUGGGGCUUGCUAGUGACUUUUGCCGUAACUCCGCACAUAUCUGCACACCACUAAUCUCCCCAAAUAUUAUUCCCUUCCUUGCACUUCAGAUCUGUCCCCCACACAUCCCUUGGAGAUGAAAGUUCUGCCUUAUUCAUUUUUCUUGCCUCAGACUGAACAGCAUAAAGCCUUAUACAUGGUAGAAAGAACCCAACAAAUAUUUAAGCAUUAAGAAGAAACAAAAUACUCAUGAGAUCCAAAAUCUGGACUCCACUAAAGUUGUUUACAAUUUUAGGGAAAAAAAAAAAAUCUUGCGUUUAGGUCUUAACAUCUCAGGAAGCAAGCUGAGCUUGAACUGCAGCUCUUUAUCUUUACAUAAGAAUGAUCAGACCACCCCUUCCCGCAACAUCUUUUUUUCUCACAGGAAAACAGAGUGUCCUCAAAAACUGCUUCAUGAAAUUAAAAGCAUGGUCCUACCUGCAGGGCUUUGUAGCCCAGUUCCUAAACACUACCUUUCCAAAUGUAAAAUGCUCCUCUCUGAGGCCAAGGUCUACACAUUUUGGACCAAGUGGCAUGGUCUGUUGAUAUUUUCUUAGUAAGCAAACUCUUAGUUGAGGCAACACAUUCCUUGGGUCAUGGAUGAAACUCUACAUGUAUAAACAGGCCACCAGGAUACAUCGAUGUGCAGGCCAUAGAAUAGGAUGGUCAAGGGACGUGAAACAUAAAGGAUAUUACAUUGCAAUCCACUUUCAUUAAGGUCUGGAUUGAGGGAAGCAUGCUUUUAGCUACCUAAUAGUUAUGCUGACUAAGAAAUCCUCUUAAAUGAGCUGAGUUUUUUUUCCUUUAUUUUUCCCUUCCUCCCCUCCUCCCUUUCAUCAUCCCCCUCUUUCUUCAUUCCUACUUUCCAUCCAUCCUUUCCUCCUUCCUUCCUUAUCCGUAGAAAGGAAUAAAUAAGACCUUAUUACUAUGCUGGAUUGGAAGCUGUAUACAUUCAGCUGGGUCAUAACCUUCUUGCUAUUUUGAUGCAAUUUUUUCAUUAACAAAUGACAUAGUAUUCCUGGUGAUUCCUCUGCUCAAGAUUUCUAUUCAGUCAGUACAUGAGAUUAAAUCAAGGUAAUUGAAAAGAUUUGUAAUCCUUUAAGUAUAAUCAUUCAUUUCUAAAUCUAAUUCCAGUGACAAGCCUAGCCUUGUGUCAUCUUCCUUCUCUGAGAGGGAAGUGUUCUACUAGGCAGGACCCCCCCGCCCCCUGCCCUGGGUACAGAGGAAAUAAUAGUGCUUUCAGACCUUGACUUCAAGGGAAUAGACUCUGUGAAAACAGAUUAGUUGUCUACAAGUGUGCACAAACCGUAAGAACUAAAGAGAUGAUGAAAGAGUCUUUCCUUCCCUUUCCCCAUGCGCCCUGUAAAUGGAUAGGCAAAUAUAUAUUGAUGAAGAGUCCUCAGUUGAUUAAUGAAAAAACUGCACACAAAUGACCAGCCCAUCCAGGCUAGAAGGUACUUCUCAGAAAGAGUGACCUUGUGUUUGAGGAGCAUGGGGUGGGGGGGUAGGCCAAAGGAGACCCACCUCCCAGCCCUAAGAUGGAAGAUAUAACUCCACUCUACUAACAUGGUCACUUAAAAGUUUUUUUAAAAUAAUGAAAUAUUUUAGAAUAGCAUCUAAUUGAGAUAAUUUGUAGAGGAAAAUUCUGGUUUGCAGGUAGGGCAUGUAGAGAAACGAGAUAGUAAGUGGUUCUGGAACAUGGAAGCUAUAGAUUGGAGAACAAUGGCAGGUGGAGAACUGUUUUCACUCAAGAAAGGGGGAGAUGAUGUUAUUGCUCAGAUGGGGGCCCCACAGCUCAGGAAUUGACUAAAAGACACACAUACAUAUACAAAAUAUGGUGGCAUGUGGAAGUUCCCAGACCAGGGAUCUAGUCCCAGCCAUAGCUGUGACCUAUGCCACAGCUGCAGCAACAACACUGGCUUCUUAACUCACUUCCAGGCUGGGAAUCAAACCCGUGCCUCUACAGAGACACUAUGUGGAGACAACGCCAGGUCCUUAACCCAUUGCUCCACAGCAGGAACUCCUAUUAUAUUUUUAAAGAAGUAAAUUCUAAGUUCCAACAAACAAUCUUUAUUUAGCCAAAGUAUUGGCUAAUUAUUUGUGGUUUUAUUUCCAGAUUCUUGCCAACAAUUUAAUAUUGAUUUUUGCCAUCUGUCACUUAGCCGCAUCUCAGAUUCUUUUCAACUACAAAAUUGCUUGAAAUGUACAUAUACAAAUCACAGAUAAAAAUGUUAAACAGGAAAAAAAAAUGUUAAACAGGGCAGAACAAAGAUGAGAACCAUGUGGUACUUUGUAAGAGGGCACUCCACCCUCUCUAGUUUACAAUCCUUAGAAUUUUGGAGAUGAAAAUAUUUUUCAGAAUAUCUAAUGCCACAUUUGUAUUGAUGCGAAACAGAGACCUGGAAAGUGAGUUGAAUGGUUUAAAGACAUAUAGCUAGUUUUUCAUUUAUUCAAGAAUUGUGGGAUGUGUGUGUUCGGGGCGGGGAGUGGCGUAUUGUUCGAUCUAUUACAUCCAGAUCCUCCCCUGACUCCACGACCAGUGUUCUUUUCCACUAACUCUUUUGACAAAGACUCAUGAAUCAUCACUUCUGAAUACACAUCUCUCCAGCUUUCAAAGCCCCUGUGUUACUGUCAUCUGUCUGCAAAAAUCUCAUGAGAUAAUCUAUAAAAUACUUUGCUAAUAUUAAGAUAAAUUUGACUCCGCAUUCUCUUGCCCUAAUAAAUUAAUGAUUUUAUAGAUUUAACUUGACAUUGCUUGUGUGAAAAUUUAAAGAGGGAAACGUCACAAAAGUGGAGCCUGGAGUGCAGUAGAGGGAGCUUUCACGCAAGUACUACUCACUGCCAGUGUCGAUCCCAAAAGGAAAAGAUAUACCUUGAUUUGCAGCAGGAAGUGACACUACUACCACCUUCAGGAGGAAGAAAGAUUGUUCUCCUGGCUGGGCAACAGCUCAGCCCCAGUGUCAGACUGUCACAAUUCAGCCAAUGAAAAGCUACGAUACUUCAAACUUCCAGUUACCGCCAGUGAAAUUUUUGUUUAUACAGCCACUCCCAACUUCCCCUUCUCCUCUAUAAAAGAGUUUCCUUUCUUUUACUUUACUGACAUGCAUGUGGUUCACCAUAGUUACAUGUUGAAAUUUUUUUGCUGCUUCCAAAUAAACUUUUUUUGCUGGUAAAAUAAAUGGUUAUUUCAUUUUUUAGAUUAACUCUGGUGUUUUAAUGAACUUGUUUGUUCACUCCAUCUCCAACCCUAUUCCAUUCUCCUUCUGUUCACCCAACUUAGAAAAUCUUAUCGAUUGUUUCGACUCUCAAAUGUAUGUCAUCAAUUCCUAUAUUUCCUUAAAAUUUCAAACACUUAUCUUCCCAUCUAUACUGCAGACUACAAACUCAACAUAUUCAAAACCAAAUUCAUUAUUCUUCCUUGUUAGUUCCAUUUCUUGCCCUGAGUUUCUACUUCCCUUAGUACCAUCACAAUUGACUUAACUUUGGGGGCUAAAACCUGGAAAGUUUCCAGUUUCCUACUCCAUUUCCUCAUUGAGUUAUCUUGAUUCUGCCUCCAAAUUCUUUUAGUUUAGAUGCUCAUUUUUAUCUUGUUUUGAUAACCUCAGUAGCCUCUUAACCCAUUUCUGAGUUUCCACACCUCUAAUUUCAAUUACUCUCUCCAGAAUGUUCUUUCUGCAGUAUCAAUCCAGUUUUUACCAAACUGGGCAGUAUCCUAAAAGAUUUCCAUAGGAAGAAAAAAGUUGUUUAUUGUGGUAGGCAGAAUUAUAAGAUGGAUCUUCAGGAUUCCUGGCCCCUGGUUACUCAAUCAAAUACUAACCUGCUUGCUGCUGUGAAGAGAUUUUGCAGAUGUGAUUAAAGUCCCAAAUUGGUUGACUUUCAGAUAGGCAGAUUAUCUUGGUGGGCCUAACCUAAUUACACGUGUCCCCUGGUCAGAUAAAGGAAGACAGAGAGAUGUGCUCUGGCUGGCCGAGAAGAAGACAGACCCCCAUACUGUGACCUGUCUGGUUGGGGGGCGUGGGGGCAUGGUGGUGGCAGGGGCAGGUGCAUGUGGAAGGAAACUGAAAGGGAGCUCUAGAAGCUGAGACCAAUUCCCAGUCCACAGCCAGCAAGGAAACGGGGACAUCAGUUGUGCAACAGCAAAGAAGCAAAGAACUGAAUUCUGCCGACAAUAAAAAUGAGUUUGGUGGUGGAUUUCUCUCUCCUCCCCUUGAAGCCUCCAGAUGAGUACUUAGCUUGGGCAACACCUUGAUUUUAACCUUGUGAUUACCUGAGCAGAGAACCCAGUCAUGCCAUGUCAGACUCGUGACCCACAGACUGUGAGCUAAUAAAUGGGUUUCAAGUUCCUAACUGUGGUAGUUUGUUACACAACAAUAGAAACCUAGUACACAUAAUUAAUUAUAUUUUGGAAAUACACAGCUAAAUCAAGUUAAGUUUCUUUAUUUCAAGAAUUCUCAAGUGAGGGGGAGGGACCAAUUAGGAGUAUGGGAUUAACACAUACAAACUACUACACUACCAGGAUUUACUGUAUAGCACAGGGAAUUUUACUCAGUAUCUUGUAAUAUACUAUAAUGGAAUAAAAUCUGCAAAAAAAAAAAAA
rnacentral:lncRNA from 1 species